GGCAGGGUGGCCGAGUGGUCUAAGGUGCUAGAUUCAAGAUGCUGUUUUUCCCUCAAUUGGGUGUUCUGGGAGGUGUGGGUUCAAAUCACACCCCUGACA
rnacentral:tRNA from 1 species